rnacentral:rRNA from 1 species
CGGAGGCUACCGCUAUUGGAGUUCGAUUAAGCCAUGCGAGUCGCGAGUCUUAGGGACUCGGCGUACCGCUCAGUAACACGUGGGUAACCUGCCCUAUGCUGGGGAAUAACCUCGGGAAACUGAGAAUAAUGCCCCAUAGUUCACCACGCCUGGAACGGUGGGUGGAUUAAAGCUCCGGCGGCAUAGGAUGGACCUGCGGCGUAUCAGGUCGUAGGGGGUGUAAUGUACCCUCUAGCCAUCGACGCGUACGGGUGUUGGGAGACAUUGCCCGGAGAUGGAUUCUGAGACACGAAUCCAGACCCUACGGGGUGCAGCAGGCGCGAAAACUUGGCAAUGCGAGAAAUCGUGACCAGGGAACUCCAAGUGCAUCGGGUAAGACCGAUGCUUUUCUUGACUCUUCAACGGUCUUGGAAUAAGGGGUGGGUAAGGACGGUGCCAGCCGCCGCGGUAAUACCGGCGCCUCAAGUGGUAGUCGCUUUUAUUGGGCCUAAAACGUCCGUAGCCGGUUUGGUACAUUCGUGGGUAAAUCAAGGCGCUCAACGUCUUGAAUUCUGCGAGCACGGCCAGACUUGGGACCGGGUGAGGUGUGGGGUACUCUCAGGGUAGGGGUAAAAUCCUGUCAUCCUGAGAGGACCACCUGUUGCGAAGGCGCCACACUAGAACGGAUCCGACGGUCAGGGACGAAGCCUAGGGGCACGAACCGGAUUAGAUACCCGGGUAGUCCUAGGUGUAAACGCUGUGGACUUGAUGUUGGGAGUGCUCCGAGCACCCUCAGUGUCGAAGCGAAGGUGAUAAGUCCACUGCCUGGGGAGUACGGUCGCAAGGCUGAAACUUAAAGGAAUUGGCGGGG